rnacentral:rRNA from 1 species
AGCCCAGAGCCUGAAUCAGUGUGUGUGUUAGUGGAAGCGUCUGGAAAGGCGCGCGAUACAGGGUGACAGCCCCGUACACAAAAAUGCACAUGCUGUGAGCUCGAUGAGUAGGGCGGGACACGUGGUAUCCUGUCUGAAUAUGGGGGGACCAUCCUCCAAGGCUAAAUACUCCUGACUGACCGAUAGUGAACCAGUACCGUGAGGGAAAGGCGAAAAGAACCCCGGCGAGGGGAGUGAAAAAGAACCUGAAACCGUGUACGUACAAGCAGUGGGAGCACGCUUAGGCGUGUGACUGCGUACCUUUUGUAUAAUGGGUCAGCGACUUAUAUUCUGUAGCAAGGUUAACCGAAUAGGGGAGCCGAAGGGAAACCGAGUCUUAACUGGGCGUUAAGUUGCAGGGUAUAGACCCGAAACCCGGUGAUCUAGCCAUGGGCAGGUUGAAGGUUGGGUAACACUAACUGGAGGACCGAACCGACUAAUGUUGAAAAAUUAGCGGAUGACUUGUGGCUGGGGGUGAAAGGCCAAUCAAACCGGGAGAUAGCUGGUUCUCCCCGAAAGCUAUUUAGGUAGCGCCUCGUGAAUUCAUCUCCGGGGGUAGAGCACUGUUUCGGCAAGGGGGUCAUCCCGACUUACCAACCCGAUGCAAACUGCGAAUACCGGAGAAUGUUAUCACGGGAGACACACGGCGGGUGCUAACGUCCGUCGUGAAGAGGGAAACAACCCAGACCGCCAGCUAAGGUCCCAAAGUCAUGGUUAAGUGGGAAACGAUGUGGGAAGGCCCAGACAGCCAGGAUGUUGGCUUAGAAGCAGCCAUCAUUUAAAGAAAGCGUAAUAGCUCACUGGUCGAGUCGGCCUGCGCGGAAGAUGUAACGGGGCUAAACCAUGCACCGAAGCUGCGGCAGCGACACUGUGUGUUGUUGGGUAGGGGAGCGUUCUGUAAGCCUGUGAAGGUGUGCUGUGAGGCAUGCUGGAGGUAUCAGAAGUGCGAAUGCUGACAUAAGUAACGAUAAAGCGGGUGAAAAGCCCGCUCGCCGGAAGACCAAGGGUUCCUGUCCAACGUUAAUCGGGGCAGGGUGAGUCGACCCCUAAGGCGAGGCCGAAAGGCGUAGUCGAUGGGAAACAGGUUAAUAUUCCUGUACUUGGUGUUACUGCGAAGGGGGGACGGAGAAGGCUAUGUUGGCCGGGCGACGGUUGUCCCGGUUUAAGCGUGUAGGCUGGUUUUCCAGGCAAAUCCGGAAAAUCAAGGCUGAGGCGUGAUGACGAGGCACUACGGUGCUGAAGCAACAAAUGCCCUGCUUCCAGGAAAAGCCUCUAAGCAUCAGGUAACAUCAAAUCGUACCCCAAACCGACACAGGUGGUCAGGUAGAGAAUACCAAGGCGCUUGAGAGAACUCGGGUGAAGGAACUAGGCAAAAUGGUGCCGUAACUUCGGGAGAAGGCACGCUGAUAUGUAGGUGAAG